AUCAGGAAAUUCUAGUGGAGAUGUAAGCAAGGUGAGCGCAAGCCGGCUUGGGUAUCUUGGGACGUGAUGACUCGGCCAAAGCAUUUGGGAGGCCUUGGCUUUAGGGAUCUUGAGAUUUUUAAUUUGGCUUUGCUUGCUAGACAAGCAUGAAUGCUUCUCCUGGAACCCGCAAGUCUUAGUGCAAGAAUUCUCAAAGCAGUUUACUAUUCGAACAAGACAAUCCUUACUGCGGAGUUAGGCACUAGACUCUCACAAAUUUGACGUGCUAUCUUGGAAGGGAGAGAUUUACUACAGCAGGGCAUUAUACGGCGGAUUGGUAAUGGGCAAACGACAGAUAUUUGGGCUGACAACUGGAUACCGAAGGAGAUGACACCACGACCGAUCACGUCGCUAGUGGCGAACCCUCCAAGGUAUGUGUCAGAGCUUCUAAUCCCGGCGACAACAUCAUGGAAUGAGGCUCUGAUCCGCAAUGUUUUCCUUCCAAUUGAUGCCAACGCCAUAUUGAAGAUCCCUGUUUGCACUCGCAACAUACCCGACUUCUGGGCAUGGCAUCCUGAGAAGAAAGGAAAUUUCAGUGUUAGUUCGGCCUAUAAAUUCCUUCUAAAAACCAAGCUACAGAGGAAGGAGUGGCUCGAAGGAAUGAGUGGAUCCUCUAAUGCCGAACAGGAAGAAAAAUCAUGGUGUUCGUUAUGA
rnacentral:rRNA from 1 species